CUGGCUAUACACAUCACUUAUCAUUCAUACGGUCAGUUUGAACAGUAGGCCUGGCUAGACACAUCACUUAUCAUUCAUACGGUCAGUUUGAACAGUAGGCCUGGCUAGACACAUCACUUAUCAUUCAUAUGGUCAGUUUGCACAGUAGGCCUGGCUAUACACAUCACUUAUCAUUCAUAUGGUCAGUUUGCACAGUAGGCCUGGCUAUACACAUCACUUAUCAUUCAUAUGGUCAGUUUGAACAGUAGGCCUGGCUAUACACAUCACUUAUCAUUCAUACGGUCAGUUUGAACAGUAGGCCUGGCUAGACACAUCACUUAUCAUUCAUACGGUCAGUUUGAACAGUAGGCCUGGCUAGACACCACUUAUCAUUCAUACGGUCAGUUUGAACAGUAGGCCUGGCUAGACACCACUUAUCAUUCAUACGGUCAGUUUGAACAGUAGGCCUGGCUAGACACCACUUAUCAUUCAUACGGUCAGUUUGAACAGUAGGCCUGGCUAGACACCACUUAUCAUUCAUACGGUCAGUUUGAACAGUAGGCCUGGCUAGACACAUCACUUAUCAUUCAUAUGGUCAGUUUGAACAGUAGGCCUGGCUAUACACAUCACUUAUCAUUCAUACGG
ensembl:lncRNA